ACACAUACAGAAAAAGAGAGAAACACAGAAACAGGCAGAAAUAUAAACAGAGUGAAAGAGAGGAGUUCCUUCCACUAGUACAUGCAUGCUUAUUUUGAAACAUACAAUUUGGAAGAGCUCCAUGGGCACUGAGAGGUUAAAUGACUACCCCAAGGAUCAUACAGCCAGUAUGUGUCUGAAGCAAGACUUGAAUCCAUCCCUUUCUGAUUCUAGGCCAACCCUCUAUCCAUUAUGUCACACUACACAAGCUUGAAGCACUAUAGCAACAUGAACUAUCAUUAUGAGGUACUCAUCCUCUCAUCAUGUUAUUUCACAUCUUCCUCUAAACCAUCUCUUCAAGCUCGUCACCUAACAAGUUCGAAAGUUAGAAAGAGUUUAUAAUGUCUUCAUCUCUUUGGGCCAUCAUUUCUUCACAAGCUGCCAUUAUCAAGAUGAGACAGCCAAUGAUUUUUCCUUCCUACUCUUUAGUUAGUGAAAUGACCGAGGCAAGUAUCAUGUACAAGGAGCACACAGGAAAGGACUGACUUGGUACCACUGAAAGAAUUCCCAAAUAGAUGAGACUCCUGAACCAUUUGAAUUUUAAUUGUCAAAAACCAGAUGGAGUGAAGAAAAAGACAUUAAAAUAUCUUAAAUAAAAGGGGGAAAUCUAUAUAAUAUUCCAUUCAACUUUUUUACUAUAAUAUGUACAUGUCUAAGAAAGUCAGUUUUUAAUGAUUAUAUGUAUAUUGAAAAUAAGAUUAAACCAAUGUUGAUUUUAAAUAUUUUACUAUAAUAUAGUGUCCACAGAGGCUAUACCCUUUGUUCAAUAGAGAAAUUGUACAUACAAGGUUUGAGCUUUGCUGAAGCUGAACUGGAAUUUCUGAGAAU